rnacentral:lncRNA from 1 species
GCCGAGUGGUUGUCGCCAUAGUACAGCACGUCGCCCACCAGCUGGUCCGGCCCGAUGCCCUCCUCCUCGUGCACCUUCUCCAUGCCCUUGUAGAAGGUGAAGUGGGGCACCCGGUCAAUGCCCUCCCGCCGGCACAGCUCCCGUGUCUGCUCCGACUCGUCGCCCAUCACCAGCAGGAACUCCACGUCGCUGCACGUCCAGCUCAGCUCCACCAUGAAGGGGUAGAUCCGGCGGCUGUUGGGGCUGUGGCUCGCCGCGUACUCCACCACCACCAGCUUGUUCUUGGCGGCGCGGAGGGCCGCCUCGAACUCGUCGACGUUGUGCACCUUCUGCACCCGCUCGUCGCUGGCUGUGGACCGGCUCUUGGUGCCGCUCGCCGCCGCCGAGGCGCGAGGGCAGAACGACGCCGGCUUGCCGAGGGAUGACGGACGGUGUCUUAUCCUGGUGGAGAAGAAGUGGGAGAGUGGGGAGUGAGAAGAAAGGGGCGCGGGCUGGCCUAGUCUGGAGAGGCAGGAAGAGACAGAAGAAGAGGAAGUUGGAGGAGACCCAAAGAG